AUUGAACGCUGGCGGCAGGCCUAACACAUGCAAGUCGAACGAGUGGCGGACGGGUGGGUAAUGUCUGUGAAACGGCCUGAUGGAGGGGGAUAACUACUGGAAACUGUAGCUAAUUCCGCAUUCCAUCGCAUGGGCCCAGUUGGGAUUAGCUAGUGGGAGGGGUAAAGGCUAACCUAGGCGACGAUCCCUAGCUGGUCUGAGAGGAUGACCAGCCACACUGGAACUGAGCCACGGUCCAGACUCCUACGGGAGGCAGCAGUGGGGAAUAUUGCACAAUGGGCGCAAGCCUGAUGCAGCCAUGCCGCGUGUAUGAAGAAGGCCUUCGGGUUGUAAAGUACUUUCAGCGGGGAGGCGUUACCCGCAGAAGAAGCACCGGCUAACUCCGUGCCAGCAGCCGCGGUAAUAC
rnacentral:rRNA from 1 species